rnacentral:lncRNA from 1 species
UCAAAACAUAAGGAUCUAUUAGUGCAUGAAAUAAAAAGGGUGGACUUGCAUGUCAAUUUCCCCCCUAAUUAGUAGUGGCCAGCCAUGAGCAUGAGAGUGGACAAAAUGUUAUGGGGUGAAACAUGUUGGAAACAUGUUGUGUUAGUGUGUUAUGGGAGAAAGAAUAUAAUAAAGGGUUAGUAAUAAAAAAAUGAAAAGGGAGGGGUGAUGAGAACAAAGUUGUCUCAUCCAUGUUCCCCCC